rnacentral:pre_miRNA from 12 species
CCUUAGUCCCUGAGACCUUAGCUUGUGAGUUUUUGAUCAUUGUAAAUAUCACACUAGUUAAGAUCUCAGGCGGCCUAG